AUACGGAGGGUGCAAGCGUUGUUCGGAAUCACUGGGCGUAAAGGGCGCGCAGGCGGUUUGGUAAGUCAGAUGUGAAAGCCCAUGGCUCAACCAUGGAAGUGCAUUUGAAACUGUCAGACUUGAGUACUAGAGGGGAAAGUGGAAUUCCCGGUGUAGAGGUGAAAUUCGUAGAUGUCGGGAGGAAUACCGGUGGCGAAGGCGACUUUCUGGCUAGAUACUGACGCUGAGGCGCGAAAGCGUGGGGAGCAAACAGGAUUAGAAACCCCGGUAGUCC
rnacentral:rRNA from 1 species